UACAGAGGGUGCAAGCGUUGUCCGGAUUUAUUGGGCGUAAAGAGCGUGUAGGCGGCCAGGUAGGUCAGCUGUGAAAACUCGAGGCUUAACCUCGAGACGCCGGCUGAAACCCUCUGGCUAGAGUCCGGAAGAGGAGAGCGGAAUUCCUGGUGUAGCGGUGAAAUGCGCAGAUAUCAGGAAGAACACCCGUGGCGAAGGCGGCUCUCUGGGACGGUACUGACGCUGAGACGCGAAAGCGUGGGGAGCGAACAGG
rnacentral:rRNA from 1 species